UUGGAGGGCAAGUCUGGUGCCAGCAGCCGCGGUAAUUCCAGCUCCAAUAGCGUAUAUUAAAGUUGUUGCAGUUAAAAAGCUCGUAGUUGAAUUUCGGGGUUAGUAGGUUGGUCAUGCCUCUGGUAUGUACUGGUCUCACUGAUUCCUCCUUCCUGAUGAACCUUAAUGCCAUUAAUUUGGUGUUUUGGGGAAUUUGGACUGUUACUUUGAAAAAAUUAGAGUGUUUAAAGCAAGCUAACGCUUGAAUACAUUAGCAUGGAAUAAUGAAAUAGGACGUUCGAUCCUAUUUUGUUGGUUUCUAGGAUUGACGUAAUGAUUAAUAGGGAUAGUUGGGGGCAUUAGUAUUCAAUUGUCAGAGGUGAAAUUCUUGGAUUUAUUGAAGACUAACUACUGCGAAAGCAUCUGCCAAGGAUGUUUUCAUUAAUCAAGAACGAAAGUUAGGGGAUCGAAGACGAUCAGAUACCGUCGUAGUCUUAACCAUAAACUAUGCCGACUAGGGAUCGGAUGAUGUUAAUUUUUUAAUGACUCAUUCGGCGCCUUACGGGAAAC
rnacentral:rRNA from 1 species